UACGUAGGGUGCAAGCGUUGUCCGGAAUUAUUGGGCGUAAAGAGCUCGUAGGCGGCUUGUCGCGUCGGCUGUGAAAACCUGGGGCUCAACCCCGGGCCUGCAGCCGAUACGGGCAAGCUAGAAUUCGGUAGGGGAGACUGGAAUUCCUGGUGUAGCGGUGAAAUGCGUAGAUAUCAAGUGGAACACCAGUGGCGAAGGCGAGUCUCUGGACAUUUCCUGACGCUGAGGCACGAAAGCCAGGGGAGCAAACGGG
rnacentral:rRNA from 1 species